GCCAUCUGGAACAAAGGUAUAUAUAAAAAUGGCGGAGAGAUAAUAAAUAAUUAUUCUUAAAGAAAUAAUAAAUCUUAUUUCUAUUAGAGUUAUCAUACAUAUAAAUUAUAUUAAUUUAUAUUGUUUACCAUACGUUAAGUAUAAUAUACUUACGUGCAUCUCCAAUAUUUAUAAGUAUUUUUAUUUAGACACAAAAUAUCAUAAAAAUCAAAGAAUCAACAAAAAUGAAUUUAUUAUGUUUUUCUUCUAUAAUAUUGAUACACCGACAUGAAUGGAAUCGACGUUUCUGUCAACAUGGAUUCCAAUACCCAUAAAAUAUACCGAAAUCAAAAGAAGAGAUGAUUUACGAAGUCUAAAAUUAUAGAAAAUACUGCACUCUUAGUUGAAGUGGUACAUCCAUUUACAUACUUUGUACCAUGUAGCCAUCUGUUCGAACUAAAUAUCGCAAAGAGAAUAUCCCAUAUUGAAGGAACAAUAUUACCGGGUGAAAUUGUCAACUAUUUUUUUAUAUCUAAAGUAUCGCGUAUGUCUUCAAUUUCAUUACAUGUUAAUAGACAGCAGGUGUCGUUGAUUGCCAGCCAAGAAAUCUGAUUGCUUGAUUGUGAAACAAUGAGAUUCAUGAAAAAAAAAGUAUUGAGAUAUAAUAAUUUAAAAAGAAAUGUGAUAAAAUAUUGGAGCAAAAAAUAUAUUCCAUUUUCUAUUCAUUUGGUAGAACCAUCUUUUAUAAAUUUAAAAACUCUCAAAUUAAUUUUCUUAAUUAAAUAAUAAUUUAUAAUAUAUCUUGAAAAAAUUAUUGUCAUAUAUGUAUUGUAAUAUAAAUUAGUAAGAUAAGUAUAUCUAUACAUAGAUGACAAUAAAAUUAUUGAUAUUUUUCUAAAUGUAAUAUGUGUAUUUUCUAAAUGUAUAUGUGUGUACACAUUCUAUGUACAUGAUUCCACAUAUUUAACAUAAUAUAAUAUCCAUAAUCUGACGUAAUAAUUAUUGUUUUAUGAUUAUUGUUUUAUGUAAUAAAGAUAUAACGAUUGGUAAA